CUUCUUAUGUUAAGUAGAAAUCUCUAAGGCAAAUUUCUUAAAUUAGUCAUUUUGCGGCAGGGUGAUUUAAUAAAUGCUCAUGGAAAAUACAAAAGUAACGAGCAACUGAUGCUAAAAUCCAAACUUCGUCAGAUCUUUCGUGCUAACCUGUGCCACUAACAAAGCCAUCAGAAGUCUCUACCACGUCCUCCAACAGCACAAAGUGUGGACCAAGCUACCUCUUUUGCGAGCCUCGUACAUUUUCUUCUAGUCUUCUAUCUUCUUUAACAUCAGAUAACCCAUUGGCAAUGCUAGCAAACACAGCACUACAGAUUCCUUCAUCUUCACUGUCGAGCACAACUUCUUUCUCAUACUCAGUUAUCGUAUGGGUAUCACAUCCUUGACAUGAUCAGCGGUGUCAAAAUCAAGAUUGGGUUUCGUCCAAGGAACUAUCAAGCGCAACAGCAUCAUCUAAUGGUACAGUAUCUGGGAACAAUUGAUGAUUCCCUUCUGCCACAUCCUUCUGUUCCCAACCGGGUUAUGACUGAGACUGAAAGCGAAGGGCUUGGGUCUCAGUAAAGUGGAGUAUACUCUUUCCAACAGCCUCAGAACCUUUUCAAUUCAUCAGCUGCAAGAAAACUAGAUAUUUUCACAUAACCAAUCUCAAAUAAAAGGAAGCAUUCCGAGAAUCGGACUCGGGACCUCUGGC
rnacentral:misc_RNA from 1 species